GAUGAACGCUGGCGGCGUGCCUAAUACAUGCAAGUCGAGCGAACAGAUAAGGAGCUUGCUCCUUUGACGUUAGCGGCGGACGGGUGAGUAACACGUGGGUAACCUACCUAUAAGACUGGGAUAACUUCGGGAAACCGGGGCUAAUACCGGAUAACAUUUGGAACCGCAUGGUUCUAAAGUGAAAGAUGGUUUUGCUAUCACUUAUAGAUGGACCCGCGCCGUAUUAGCUAGUUGGUAAGGUAACGGCUUACCAAGGCAACGAUACGUAGCCGACCUGAGAGGGUGAUCGGCCACACUGGAACUGAGACACGGUCCAGACUCCUACGGGAGGCAGCAGUAGGGAAUCUUCCGCAAUGGGCGAAAGCCUGACGGAGCAACGCCGCGUGAGUGAUGAAGGGUUUCGGCUCAUAAAACUCUGUUAUUAGGGAAGAACAAACGUGUAAGUAACUGUGCACGUCUUGACGGUACCUAAUCAGAAAGCCACGGCUAACUACGUG
rnacentral:rRNA from 1 species